UGGCUCAGUGUGGUAGAGCAUGAUGUUUGCAACGCCAGGGUUGUGGGCUCGAUUCCCAC
rnacentral:tRNA from 1 species